rnacentral:snRNA from 1 species
UUGUUUGCCUCAUCAGCACAUGUACGAAAACUGGAAUAAUAGUAAGAUUAGCAUGAUCCCUGCACAAGGAUGACACACAAAUUCAUGAAGCAUUCUAUGCCUGG